UCAAUAAUUAGAUUCUUGUGCUGUGUAUCGAGAGCCCAAGGCUUAUCUGGAAUUAGAUGAGGCACCCAGAGUGUCUUUACUGCUCUCUAUUUUAGCAAAUGGAGCGGCCAAAUAUUCACUCCUUGAAACAGUGGAAGAGCAAUCACACUUUUCCCUAUCUCAAUGAAUUUGAAAUGCACUGCAAAUCAAGAAGAAAAAGAGAAUGAUCUGAAAAAAAGCAGCAAAAGGCAUGGAAUAAUGCUAUCCAUGAUGAGAACAUAGAUUCAAUUCUGCUCAGUUUUUUUUUUCCCUGCAGAAAGGAUGCUCUACACCUAAAAUGGGGAGGCAAAAGCUUUUGCACAGAUUUCCUGGCAGUUACUUGUCCGAGUGAAAGAGAAGAGCUACAUGGAAAAGAGAAAGCAAAUGACAUUUUUAACUGUGUGAAGAUUUCUUCUUUCCCCCAAGCAUCCUGAAAUAAAAGACAUAAAUGCAGA